UUGACGGGGCCCGCACAAGCGGUGGAGCAUGUGGUUUAAUUCGAUGAUACGCGAGGAACCUUACCUGGGCUCAAAUGUAUGUUGACGUAUUCUGAAAGGGAUACUUCUUCGGACAAUAUACAAGGUGCUGCAUGGUUGUCGUCAGCUCGUGCCGUGAGGUGUCGGGUUAAGUCCCAUAACGAGCGCAACCCCUAUCAUUAGUUGCCAUCAGGUCAAGCUGGGGACUCUAAUGAAACUGCCUACGCAAGUAGUGAGGAAGGUGGGGAUGACGUCAAAUCAGCACGGCCCUUACGUCCAGGGCUACACACGUGCUACAAUGGCCGGUACAAAGGGCAGCUACCUGGUGACAGGAUGCUAAUCUCAAAAGCCGGUCUCAGUUCGGAUCGGAGUCUGCAACCCGACUCCGUGAAGUUGGAUUCGCUAGUAAUCGCGCAUCAGCCAUGGCGCGGUGAAUACGUUCCCGGGCCUU
rnacentral:rRNA from 1 species